GAAUUGAAGAUUCUCUAUCGCCAUUUUGUUUUUACUUUACUUUGUGGUGUGUCCUCGAUUUGCGUUGUGUUUCGUUUUGUGUCGCUUCCAACUUGUUUUGUGUGCGUGUAUAUUUUUCUGAACGUUUUUAUUGUGAGAUUAAUAUAAAAUUUAGUGUUUAGGUACGUAUAAAUUGUAAACACAAGGAACAAAGGUGCAAUGUGUUUGAUUUCAGGGGUUUGAACAAUUUUUAGUGUUUAAGUUUAGGUAUUAGUGUUUUGUUGAUACAUUGAGUUAUAAGAGGACGUGAUGAGUUUGAGCCGAAAUCCCUCUUCUGUGCCAGGGUGCCACAAUAGAGAAAGGCCUUUUUUCCACUUUCCAAACCCCGAAGAGGCCAGGGCAUGUCUCGGAAGUGGAAAUAUGCCGCGAAUACCCAAAUUUUAAGGACCAUUUUUACAAGCAUCUGCACAGAAUUGGUUUUGUUUGCCACAAACAUUUUAAGAUGGGAGGAUUUUAAAGAGGGUACGCAUCGAGUAAAACCUACAGCGGUA